rnacentral:rRNA from 1 species
CAGCGCCACGAGUGGGGGUCACGAUUAUUGGGCCUAAAGCGUCCGUAGCCGGUUCAGCAAAUCCUUUGUGAAAUCGUUGGGCUCAACCCAACGGCGUGCAGGGGACACUACUGAACUAGGGACCGGGAGGGGUUGGAGGUAUUUCUGAGGGAGCGGUAAAAUGCUAUAAUCUCAGGAGGACCACCUGCGGCGAAGGCGUCCAACCAGAACGGAUCCGACGGUGAGGGACGAAAGCUGGGGGAGCGAACCGGAUUAGAGACCCGUGUAGUCC